UGUCCCCCACUUAUCUUUUGAUAUACUGUCUUGGUACUUGACAGCUUUCCCUGAGAUUUGAACCUCUGUCCCUCUUCCUUGCAGGUCAUCACCGAUGUCCUGCCUCCAUUGGUAUCUCUGGUUCUGAGUCAAAAUGGUAAGCAAGGUCUGAAGAUGCAGUUCAGCUGUUCCACAUGUGUGCAACAGCUGUUUCUCCAC